rnacentral:rRNA from 1 species
AGGUGGAUUAGCGGCGCACGGGUGAGUAACGCAUAUGGUAAUAUGCCCCAUAUGUCUAGGAUAUGCCACUGGAAACGGUGAUUAAUACUAGAUAUCUCCCUACGGGGGAAAGUUUUUCGCUAUGGGAUUAGCCUAUGUUCUAUCUAGCUUGGUUGGUGAGGUAAUGGCUCACCACAGGCUAUGACGGGUAUUCGGCCUGAGAAGAGGUGAUCGGACACACUGGAACUGAGAACAACGGUCCAGACAUCCUACGGGAGAGCACGCAGUAGGGAAUAUUGCUCAAUGGGGGAAACCCUGAAGCACGCAACGCCGCGUGGAGAGAUAGAAGGUGUUUAGGAUUGUAAACUCCUUUUGUUAGAAAAGAUAU